GAAAAAACACAUGACUAAAAUAUAUCUCAUGUCAUCCAAAAACUGAAAAAUUUAUUGAUUGACCACUCUUAUUUUUUGAGUGAUUAACUUCAUGUAUUGGUACUGAAAAACCCACAUAUUUGUUUUUCUAUUCUUUGUGUCAUGGCCCACAUCUAAACCUCAAUAUCUGAUAUAAUGUGCUAUAAUUUAAUAAUCGGCUCUUAAUAACUGAGAUAUUGAGGUCUAUAUAAAAAUCUGCAUGACUAAAUCAGGUGCUUUUUCUAUAACCUUACAUAGAGGUAAUCACUUAA